UACGUAGGGUGCAAGCGUUGUCCGGAAUUAUUGGGCGUAAAGAGUUCGUAGGCGGUUUGUUGCGUCGGCUGUGAAAUCCCGAGGCUCAACCUCGGGUCUGCAGUCGAUACGAGCAAACUAGAGUGUUGCAGGGGAGACUGGAAUUCCUGGUGUAGCGGUGAAAUGCGCAGAUAUCAGGAGGAACACCGGUGGCGAAGGCAGGUCACUGGGCCGCAACUGACGCUGAGGAGCGAAAGCAUGGGGAGCGAACAGG
rnacentral:rRNA from 1 species